AACUGAAGAGUUUGAUCAUGGCUCAGAUUGAACGCUGGCGGCAGGCUUAACACAUGCAAGUCGAGCGGGGGAAGGUAGCUUGCUACCGGACCUAGCGGCGGACGGGUGAGUAAUGCUUAGGAAUCUGCCUAUUAGUGGGGGACAACAUCUCGAAAGGGAUGCUAAUACCGCAUACGUCCUACGGGAGAAAGCAGGGGAUCUUCGGACCUUGCGCUAAUAGAUGAGCCUAAGUCGGAUUAGCUAGUUGGUGGGGUAAAGGYCUACCAAGGCGACGAUCUGUAGCGGGUCUGAGAGGAUGAUCCGCCACACUGGGACUGAGACACGGCCCAGACUCCUACGGGAGGCAGCAGUGGGGAAUAUUGGACAAUGGGGGGAACCCUGAUCCAGCCAUGCCGCGUGUGUGAAGAAGGCCUUAUGGUUGUAAAGCACUUUAAGCGAGGAGGAGGCUACUCUAGUUAAUACCUAGAGAUAGUGGACGUUACUCGCAGAAUAAGCACCGGCUAACUCUGUGCCAGCAGCCGCGGUAAUACAGAGGGUGCGAGCGUUAAUCGGAUUUACUGGGCGUAAAGCGUGCGUAGGCGGCUUAUUAAGUCGGAUGUGAAAUCCCCGAGCUUAACUUGGGAAUUGCAUUCGAUACUGGUGAGCUAGAGUAUGGGAGAGGAUGGUAGAAUUCCAGGUGUAGCGGUGAAAUGCGUAGAGAUCUGGAGGAAUACCGAUGGCGAAGGCAGCCAUCUGGCC
rnacentral:rRNA from 1 species